CUUGCAAUACUUAACACGGACAGGUUCCACUAGCUAGGGGAAUCCUACCAGAGUAACCAGAGACUGUAACAGAUUUGGGUUUGAUGAGCUAAAGGAGAAGACUGAAGGUUGCUCAGGUAAGAGCUGGAAGGGGCCCAUAGUUGUCACGCAUAGUACGUUCAGCUUUGGGCAAGCCCACAGAUGCAGAGGGCAGCUCAGUCUCCCCCGCUAGCUUCACUAAAUGGUUCCUUCCUGUGGGUGACGUUCUAGCAUGCGUCAGUGUCAUGAAGGCCACUGGUCCAAGCAUGGUUCCAAUGGAAUGCCCUCAGCCCUCGGGGCAGCUGGAGCCUCUAGGUGUUUGUCUCUGGUGUCAUGCAGCCAGACAUGUGCUGAUAAAUGUUUGACCACAGCUGGGGCGAGGGUCAGGGAGACUGGAACCAUAUGUCAAGGGCCGAUUUCCUGCAUUUGCUGAUUUCCUUGGUGUUGACAUUCUCACCGUGGCGGAUCUGAAGCUACCAGUGAGACGUCACUGAACCCACACCUGGGAAGUCCUGCACGUAGGAGACACUGUCACACAGUGUUGCCGUCAUAUAGAUACAAUGGAUGGAAACCACCUCGAGAGCAGAGCUAACUGUCACGUAGUAAAAUCAGCCUGUGGAAUACCAGACACCUAGGUGAAGAGCGCUGUAGGAAGGUCACUUGUGCCUCUCUGACUCGGCAUGCUCCAGGGUCACCUCUUUUCUCACCUUUGUCCCAUUGGCUAAGGCCGAGCAAGGUGCCCAGUGGAUGUUCCUUCCAUGAAGGCCAGCCUGCCUCUCCACAGCACGUGGUGAAGGGGAAGAACACAGGCUGCCUGCAUUCAAACCUGAUAUUCACUUACUGCUGUGUGACCUUGGCCAGUUACCUAACCUCUCUGUACCCAGCCAGGGAGACCAAUAGCACUUGCCUUAUAGGGUUAUGGUGAUCGUUAUGUGCAUCAGUAUUUAUAAAACUCUUCCAAAUGUCUGGAACAUAACGAGGCUAUUACAAUGUUUGUUAAAUGAAAACAUGAAAAUAUGUCUAAAGACAGGGCUCUGCCUCUUUUUUCACCACUGUGUUCUGAGUCACAGGUCGGCAAACUAGGCCUUUGCACCACAAGAUUUUGUAAAUAAAGUUUUAUUCGCA